GGUGGCUCAGUGGUGGAGUACUUGCCUUGCAUGCAUGAGGCCCUGGGUUCCAUUCCUCAGCACCA
rnacentral:tRNA from 1 species